AUUCUCUGGUUUCUAUUCAGACCGUAAAAAUAUUUUGCCUUUUACUAAAGAUUUCCGUGGAGAGGAACAACCAAGAGGUUGAUGGAAUUUUUGGAUGCCUGACUGUGGUCAGGCA
rnacentral:snRNA from 1 species